rnacentral:sRNA from 1 species
UGCAUUUGUAGCCCGUGAGGAUGAGAACCUCCGAGGGCAGGGAGGUUCGACUCGAGCGAAGCGAGAGAACGUUGCGUCAGCAACGGCCCGCAGGGCGAGCCACGAAGUGGCGAGUAAUCCUCUAUCACCGACCA